rnacentral:rRNA from 1 species
UACGUAGGGUGCAAGCGUUGUCCGGAAUUAUUGGGCGUAAAGAGCUCGUAGGCGGUUUGGUUAGUCGGGUGUGAAAUCUCCAGGCUCAACCUGGAGGGGUCAUUCGAUACUGCCAUGACUAGAGUUCGGUAGGGGUGUGUGGAAUUCCUGGUGGAGCGGUGAAAUGCGCAGAGAUCAGGAGGAACACCCGUAGCGAAGGCGGCACACUGGGCCGAUACUGACGCUGAGGAGCGAAAGCGUGGGGAGCGAACAGG